rnacentral:misc_RNA from 1 species
GAUGAAGAACAUAGCGAAAUGCGAUAAGUAAUGUGAAUUGCAGAAUUCAGUGAAUCAUCGAAUCUUUGAACGCACAUUGCGCCCGCCAGUAUUCUGGCGGGCAUGCCUGUUCGAGCGUCAUUUCAACCAUCAAGCCCCCGGCUUGUGUUGGGGACCUGCGGCUGCCGCAGGCCCUGAAAACCAGUGGCGGGCUCGCUAGUCACUCCGAGCGUAGUAGUUACAUCUCGCUCAGGGCGUGCUGCGGGUUCCGGCCGUUAAAAGCCUUAUUUACCCAAGGUUGACCUCGGAUCAGGUAGGAAGACCCGCUGAACUUAAGCAUAUCAAUAAGCGGAGGA